rnacentral:misc_RNA from 1 species
GAAAUGCGAUAAGUAAUGUGAAUUGCAGAAUUCAGUGAAUCAUCGAAUCUUUGAACGCACCUUGCGCUCCUUGGUAUUCCUUGGAGCAUGCCUGUUUGAGUAUCAUGAAAUCUUCUAAGUAAAUCUUUUGUUAACUCAAUUGGUUUCUACUUUGGUAUUGGAGGUCUUUGCAGCUUCACACCUGCUCCUCUUUGUUCAUUAGCUGGAUCUCAGUGUUAUGCUUGGUUCCACUCGGCGUGAUAAGUUAUCUAUCGCUGAGGACACUGUAAAAGGUGGCCAAGGUAAAUGCAGAUGAACCGCUUCUAAUAGUCCAUUGACUUGGACAAUACUUUUAUGAUCUGAUCUCAAAUCAGGUAGGACUACCCGCUGAACUUAAGC